CAGAGCUCAAAUUUGAAAGCUGGCCCCUUCGGGGUCCGCGUUGUAAUUUGCAGAGGAUGCUUCGGGUGCAGCCCCCGUCUAAGUGCCCUGGAACGGGCCGUCAUACAGGGUGAGAAUCCCGUCUGGGACGGGGUGUCUGCGUCCGUGUGAAGCUCCUUCGACGAGUCGAGUUGUUUGGGAAUGCAGCUCUAAAUGGGUGGUAAAUUUCAUCUAAAGCUAAAUACUGGCCGGAGACCGAUAGCGCACAAGUAGAGUGAUCGAAAGAUGAAAAGCACUUUGAAAAGAGAGUUAAACAGCACGUGAAAUUGUUGAAAGGGAAGCGUUUGCGACCAGACUCGCCCGCGGGGUUCAGCCGGCAUUCGUGCCGGUGUACUUCCCCGUGGGCGGGCCAGCGUCGGUUUGGGCGGCCGGUCAAAGGCCCUCGGAAUGUAUCACCUCUCGGGGUGUCUUAUANCCGAGGGUGCAAUGCGGCCUGCCUGGACCGAGGAACGCGCUUCGGCUCGGACGCUGGCGUAAUGGUCGUAAAUGACCCGUCUUGAAACACGGACCAAGGAGUCUAACAUCUACGCGAGUGUUCGGGUGUCAAACCCGUACGCGCAGUGAAA
rnacentral:rRNA from 1 species